UGGGGAAUUUUGGACAAUGGGGGAAACCCUGAUCCAGCCAUCCCGCGUGUGCGAUGAAGGCCUUCGGGUUGUAAAGCACUUUUGGCAGGAAAGAAACGUCAUGGGUUAAUACCCCGUGAAACUGACGGUACCUGCAGAAUAAGCACCGGCUAACUACGUGCCAGCAGCCGCGGUAAUACGUAGGGUGCAAGCGUUAAUCGGAAUUACUGGGCGUAAAGCGUGCGCAGGCGGUUCGGAAAGAAAGAUGUGAAAUCCCAGAGCUCAACUUUGGAACUGCAUUUUUAACUACCGGGCUAGAGUGUGUCAGAGGGAGGUGGAAUUCCGCGUGUAGCAGUGAAAUGCGUAGAUAUGCGGAGGAACACCGAUGGCGAAGGCAGCCUCCUGGGAUAACACUGUCGCUCAUGCACGAAAGCGUGGGGAGCAAACAGG
rnacentral:rRNA from 1 species